rnacentral:tRNA from 2 species
UCCUCGGUAGCUCAGUGGCAGAGCAAUCGGCUGUUAACCGAUCGGUCGCUGGUUCGAAUCCAGCCCGGGGAG